rnacentral:rRNA from 1 species
AACCUCCGCAAUGUGAGAAAUCGCGACGGGGGGAUCCCAAGUGCCAUUCUUAACGGGAUGGCUUUUCAUUAGUGUAAAAAGCUUUUGGAAUAAGAGCUGGGCAAGACCGGUGCCAGCCGCCGCGGUAACACCGGCAGCUCUAGUGGUAGCAAUUUUUAUUGGGCCUAAAGCGUCCGUAGCCGGUUUAAUAAGUCUCUGGUGAAAUCCUGUAGCUUAACUGUGGGAAUUGCUGGAGAUACUAUUAGACUUGAGACCGGGAGAGGUUAGAGGUACUCCCAGGGUAGAGGUGAAAUUCUGUAAUCCUGGGAGGACCGCCUGUUGCGAAGGCGUCUAACUGGAACAGUUCUGACGGUGAGGGACGAAAGUUAGGGGCGCGAACCGGAUUAGAUACCCGGGUAGUCCUAACUGUAAACGAUGCGGACUUGGUGUUGGGGUGGCUUUGAGCUGCUCCAGUGCCGAAGGGAAGCUGUUAAGUCCGCCGCCUGGGAAGUACGGUCGCAAGACUGAAACUUAAAGGAAUU